rnacentral:rRNA from 1 species
GUGGGGAAUAUUGGACAAUGGGGGGAACCCUGAUCCAGCCAUGCCGCGUGUGUGAAGAAGGCCUUUUGGUUGUAAAGCACUUUAAGCGAGGAGGAGGCUACUCUAGUUAAUACCUAGAGAUAGUGGACGUUACUCGCAGAAUAAGCACCGGCUAACUCUGUGCCAGCAGCCGCGGUAAUACAGAGGGUGCAAGCGUUAAUCGGAUUUACUGGGCGUAAAGCGCGCGUAGGUGGCCAAUUAAGUCAAAUGUGAAAUCCCCGAGCUUAACUUGGGAAUUGCAUUCGAUACUGGUUGGCUAGAGUAUGGGAGAGGAUGGUAGAAUUCCAGGUGUAGCGGUGAAAUGCGUAGAGAUCUGGAGGAAUACCGAUGGCGAAGGCAGCCAUCUGGCCUAAUACUGACACUGAGGUGCGAAAGCAUGGGGAGCAAACAGGAUUAGAAACCCUAGUAGUCC